rnacentral:rRNA from 1 species
CCUACGGGGGGCAGCAGUGGGGAAUAUUGCACAAUGGGGGAAACCCUGAUGCAGCGACGCCGCGUGAGUGAAGAAGUAUUUCGGUACGUAAAGCUCUAUUAGUAGGGAAGAAAAUGACGGUACCUGACUAAGAAGCCCCGGCUAACUACGUGCCAGCAGCCGCGGUAAUACGUAGGGGGCAAGCGUUAUCCGGAUUUACUGGGUGUAAAGGGAGCGUAGUCGGCUUUGCAAGUCUGAAGUGAAAGGCGGGGGCUCAACCCCCGGACUGCGUUGGAAACUGUAUGGCUUGAGUGCAGGAGAGGUAAGUGGAAUUCGUGGUGUAGCGGUGAAAUGCGUAGAUAUUAGGAGGAACACCAGUGGCGAAGGCGGCUUACUGGACUGUAACUGACGUUGAGGCUCGAAGGCGUGGGGAGCAAACAGGAUUAGAUACCCGGGUAGUC